rnacentral:rRNA from 1 species
CAGCAGUGGGGAAUAUUGGACAAUGGGCGAAAGCCUGAUCCAGCCAUGCCGCGUGUGUGAAGAAGGUCUUCGGAUUGUAAAGCACUUUAAGUUGGGAGGAAGGGUUGUAGAUUAAUACUCUGCAAUUUUGACGUUACCGACAGAAUAAGCACCGGCUAACUUCGUGCCAGCAGCCGCGGUAAUACGAAGGGUGCAAGCGUUAAUCGGAAUUACUGGGCGUAAAGCGCGCGUAGGUGGUUCGUUAAGUUGGAUGUGAAAGCCCCGGGCUCAACCUGGGAACUGCAUCCAAAACUGGCGAGCUAGAGUACGGUAGAGGGUGGUGGAAUUUCCUGUGUAGCGGUGAAAUGCGUAGAUAUAGGAAGGAACACCAGUGGCGAAGGCGACCACCUGGACUGAUACUGACACUGAGGUGCGAAAGCGUGGGGAGCAAACAGGAUUAGA